rnacentral:rRNA from 1 species
UACGUAGGGGGCAAGCGUUGUCCGGAAUCAUUGGGCGUAAAGAGCGUGUAGGCGGUUCGGUAAGUCGGCUGUGAAAGUCCAGGGCUCAACCCUGGGAUGCCGGUCGAUACUGCCGGACUAGAGUUCGGAAGAGGCGAGUGGAAUUUCCGGUGUAGCGGUGAAAUGCGCAGAUAUCGGGAGGAACACCUAUGGCGAAGGCAGCUCGCUGGGACGUUACUGACGCUGAGACGCGAAAGCGUGGGGAGCAAACAGG